CGUUCCCAGCAGCAGCAGCCGCCGCCUCCUCCUCCCGCGACGAUGCCUCCACCACCCACCCAGGCAUGAGUCCCGGCGGCACAUAGACCGCGUUGUUCUGGGUCAGGAGAGUCCCGGCACUGCGCGAGGCCAUGGCUCCGACGAGCAGGAAGGCGAGAGAGGGCGAAGCUGCUGGGCACGCGAGGCCGAGGCCUGAAGAUGGCCGGAGUCUGAGUAGGCCGCGACGGUCACAAACCCGUCGCCAUGACAACGAGGCCGGGACGGGAGGCAGCGAGGGGAGGAUGCCCCGUCUCUCUCGCGCGCGCUCUCUCUGUUGCGCAGGCGCGGUGGCGGGCGGGGGGGGGGGUACCCAGCAAAGCGAGGCUGCCCAGCUGAUGUCGGACUACAACUCCCAGCAUCGUUGCGCCCGCCCGCCCGCCAGCUAGCAUCAAUUAUUAUUUAUGAUCGGCGUGGGAGCUGUAGUCCAACAAACAGCUGGGGACCCCAGUCUCGCUGAGUUGUUAUCCCAAGCCUAAGGUGGCAGCACUAGGGUUUCAGAGUCUUACGCCUGUCAAAUUUGGGUCCCCACGGCAACAUCUGGGGGCCUGUGUGUGGUGAACACCCCUGCUAACUGGGAAUGCUCUCUGGAGAUUUUUCUGUGCAGUAUCCCGCCCCGCCCCCCCGCCCCAGUGAACAUCUCCAGGCUUGCAUUCAAGAGUCUCCUAGAGAUGGAGGGUGGGAAGCAAACUCUUGGACGUUCAGAUGAACACAGGAAAGAGAGGGAAUUGAGUUGUGCAUGCCUGGGCUCUACACAUUCUUGCAAAGGUCUGGGAAGAGCCCCCUGGGGUGCACAAAAUAUGUAUUAAAUGGGCUGUGUGCUCCACAAGCUCCUGCCCCAAUAUGUUUGUUUAAGCAGCUAAGGAGGACUCUCCACCCCUGCUUCAUUUUGCACCUGUGCUGGCAGUCCUAAUGCAGAGCCUUCACAAGACAUCCAUUCCUCCAUGUGCAACCAAGUAUGAACGGAGCCACCUUACUCCAUAUGAUGGUGCCUUCGUGCCCAAACAGGUGUUGCUUCUGGUUCUCCUCUCUGGCAACUAGCCCCCAACAAACACCUGUCCAGGCUAGUAAACUUAGGAGGAAGUGGCAGCCCUGCCUUUUAGAGGGUUUUAAUUUAUAGAGGACUCGUAAGCUACUUUGGCAUUCUCGCUAAAAGCUGAACUUAUAAUUCAAACGGACAAAUAAACAACAUUACUCACCAAUGCAUACUGUGAAAUAUUCAUGUGCAAUAUAUAAAUGUAUAAAAGUGAAAUACAACACUGUGUGGUCAAACAGAAACACAGACAGCCGCUUUAAUGGAUAAUGCAACUUUCAUCAAGUGAAGAUAUUCUGCAGAUAAGUGAGAGAGUCCCUGCUGGGCCUGCAGAAGAUCUCAGGCCCUGUCUCUGGCAGCGGCAUCUCCAAGAAGGGCUGAGAAAGAACCACCCAUCAAAAAUGCCAGACAGCUGUUGCCAGUCAAUGGACACAACAAGGAGGAAGGAUCCAUGGUUUUGACAGGCAGCUUCAUAGGUUACCCAUAAAGUUUGGUUUGGCCACUGGAGCCUAAAUCCACCCUCAGACUGCUUGCCGGAAAGCCUGAACCAACCACUUCAUGGAAGGAUCACUGACUUGAGGCCCAAUGUUUGGAAUAAAUUCAUUAUAAAUCAAAUGAAUAAAAUAAAAUAAAAAUC